UACGUAGGGAGCAAGCGUUGUCCGGAAUUACUGGGUGUAAAGGGAGCGUAGGCGGGAUGGCAAGUUGGGUGUUAAAUCUACCGGCUCAACUGGUAGUCGCACUCAAAACUGCUGUUCUUGAGUGAAGUAGAGGCAGGCGGAAUUCCUAGUGUAGCGGUGAAAUGCGUAGAUAUUAGGAGGAACACCAGUGGCGAAGGCGGCCUGCUGGGCUUUUACUGACGCUGAGGCUCGAAAGUGUGGGGAGCAAACAGG
rnacentral:rRNA from 1 species